CUUUCGAAUUGCUAGGUUGGCAGGAACUGGGACAGAGCAAUGGGAGCUCGGAUUCGAACCGCCGACCUUCCGAUCGGCAAGCCCAAGAGGCUCAGUGGUUUAGACUACAGCGCCACCUGCUCCCAGCAACACUGCAACCAACUGAAUGCAUCCAACCAAGCUCUGGACCCCCCAACCCCACGCAAUGCCAAUAAAGAUAAACAAAUAUAUAAAUAAGGGACCUACCGAUGAGUUGCUGACACAAUCCCCAUACUAACACUAUGCAAUGGAACGAUAGAACAAUACCCCC